rnacentral:rRNA from 1 species
CCUACGGGUGGCUGCAGUGGGGAAUAUUGCACAAUGGGCGCAAGCCUGAUGCAGCCAUGCCGCGUGUGUGAAGAAGGCCUUCGGGUUGUAAAGCACUUUCAGCGGGGAGGAAGGCGAUGAGGUUAAUAACCUCAUCGAUUGACGUUACCCGCAGAAGAAGCACCGGCUAACUCCGUGCCAGCAGCCGCGGUAAUACGGAGGGUGCAAGCGUUAAUCGGAAUUACUGGGCGUAAAGCGCACGCAGGCGGUCUGUCAAGUCGGAUGUGAAAUCCCCGGGCUCAACCUGGGAACUGCAUUCGAAACUGGCAGGCUAGAGUCUUGUAGAGGGGGGUAGAAUUCCAGGUGUAGCGGUGAAAUGCGUAGAGAUCUGGAGGAAUACCCGCGGCGAGGGCGGCCACCUGGACCAGCACUGACGCUGAGGCACGAAAGCGUGGGGAGCAAACAGGAUUAGAUACCCCAGUAGUC